UUUUAAAAAAAAAAUGUCCCUAACACAGGUUUUCUUUAGAAUUGAACAGUGAGAAACAUCCUACGAUGGGCUAUACUUCUAGAUAUAGAACACUGUUACUGAUAGACACUUCAACUAGACUGUUCCAUAAGUAUACUGGAGAAAUUAAGAAAUCGAAAUAUGCCCGUAGACGUUGCCCACUCCAUUCGUAAUUGGUUUCGCAAGACUGGGUCACUUCAUCCCAGAAUUAAUUGCUGUUUACUCAAGAUAAAAACAAUUUUUACUUCACAACUUCAUUUCUACAAUUUACAAAAUAUUUCCAAUUUCCAAGCAUGGGGAAAAUAUUAGCACUGAUGGACAUCCUCUUCCACAUUUUGCUAUGUUUAUUUUUUUUCAAAAAGAACCGGAAGUCAUACAAAAAAGUUUAAAAAAAGAAAGUGAAGACCAUACAUGGAAGUCAAUAUACCUUUCGAGGAAGACCAGCAAUACGUAGAAAUGCAAGACGGUUGGAAAAGUAUCAGAACUUUGUUCAAUUCUUCAACUCUGAAUACAACUCGAUCAUUAAAACACGGAUAAAAAAGAGAAACCGUAAUUCCCUUUUCCUUUUUGAUGGCGUCUCGGUCACGUAUGCCACAAGAUUGAGGAGGAAGAUUGGCAAGCCAAGACGAUGUCAGAAAAAGAUACGCCCAUGUUCCAUAGGAGGAAACCAGAAAAAAAGACACGAUCGA
rnacentral:sRNA from 1 species